CAAGCUUCAAUGACAACUGAAACUAUAUUUAUAUGGUAUAUGUACAUUUAACGUGUGAAUUUUUUUGGGUCACAUUAAGUGCAAUAUUUUAGUAUAAAAUGGAAAAAAGUGUUUUAUGCCUCAAAAUAUUUGAAUAUAAUAUACACAUUAUGAAAAUAAUUGUAACACCCCAUAUUCGAUCUAAUCGAUGAAUUCGAGAUGUGAAACGCCACAUUCAUUACUAGAGAAACUGUGAAUUCAUUUGCAUGUCUAAAAUGGUAUGUGUUGAAUUGGUUUGGAUAUGGUCAAGGUAUGGUAUGUUUUGGGAUAGUAUUGAUCUAGAUGUGGAUGAUUGAAAUGUGGUAACAUAUACAUGUUUAGGUAGGUUUUGGAUGAAUGUAUUUGAGGUGCCUUGAAUGACAUAUUGGUUGGUUGAUUUAGGACUCUUGAAUUGGUUAUUAUAUGUAUGUUUUGGUAAAGUUUUGAUGUCUUGAUUAUGUGCACAAAAGGCCUAUAGGUGUAUGUAUGAAUUGGUGUUGGAAAUGGCUUGAAUUUUGGGCAAAUUUAUGUCCACACGGCCUGAGAUAUAGGUGUUUGACUCAGCCAUGUGUGACACAUGGCCUGGCGACACGGUUGUGUAUCUCUUGUAGGUUCAUUUGCAUGCAAGUCAAUUAGUUACCUGGCCUAGCACACGACCUGGUAUACAGGCGUGUAGGCUAUUUCAAGAGUUACAUGAGCGUGUGACUCUACUCAAAGAGUUACAGAGGUGAGGACAUGGGCUAGGACUAGGCAUUGUGUCCCUAAUUCGAAGGUUACUUGGCUUGAGACAUGGAUGUUUGUCUCAGCUGUGUGAGGCAAACAGCCUGGCCACAUGACCAUGUGACCCCUGUGUAAUAAGCCCAAUUUGCCCGGGCCCAAAUCACAAAGAAAUAAAAACCAAAAAUAAUUAAAUGUCCCAAAAUGUCCAAUUACAGACCCAAUUACGUGGCCCAAACCACUUUUAACCUAAACUACCCUAACACUAGCCCAACACCUAAUAGCCUGAUGGGCCAACACCUAGCCUAGCAGAGACCAAAAUCAGAAAACCCUAGCAGCUAGGGUAAGCCUCCAGCGCCGCAACUGAGCCAGGCUUCCCCCUCACUCGUGUAGCGCCUCCGAGCCGAGCCACGCCACCACCAGGGACCACGCCUUCUGCCUGCACUCUGCCACAACUCCGUACAUGCGCACCCUCACGCCCGUAUACCUGCAACAACACGCACACAGCAAACAAAAAAUGAACAAAAAGCGAAGAAGGCAAAGAAAAAAGGGAAAUCGAAAGAAAAAUAUAAAAAAAAAGAAAAACAGAAAAAUGGGCGAUUUUUGUAUUUUUCCUUUUGGCUAUAUAAAGCCAUAACGAAAUCUGUAAAGAUAUAGAUGGUAUUACCCACGCAUAUUGUAUCAAAUACACGAAAUCAAUAGAGAAGAAGAAGGUUUUCUUUUCAUCUUUUUCCAUUUUGGUUCUUUUCGAUUGCUUUUUUCUUUUUGUUUUGUUUCCCAUCAAAUAUAUAAGUGUAUAUAGAGCAAAAAAGUAAAGAAAAAGGGAGAAGAAGGAGUGUCUUACCAGAGUAGGCGCCAUCGUAACCUGUUUUGCUCCGUCUGAAUCGGAGUCCGAUCGGGUUUAAGGCUGGAGAGCGGCGCAAAGUUGAGAGGGAGAGCUUAGGUUUUUCUUUCAAAAGGGCAAAUCUGAUUUAGAUUAGGUUUUUUUUAUUAUUUUAUGUUUGUUAUAAAUAAACGACGCCGUUUAAAAGGUGGGAUCCGUU
rnacentral:lncRNA from 1 species